rnacentral:rRNA from 1 species
AGAGGAAGUAAAAGUCGUAACAAGGUUUCCGUAGGUGAACCUGCGGAAGGAUCAUUACAGUAGUCAUCCGGGUUGCCGCAAGGCCUCCCGGGUAACCUACCACCCUUUGUUUAUUACACUUUGUUGCUUUGGCAGGCCUGCCCUCGGGCUGCUGGCUCCGGCCGGCGAGCGCUUGCCAGAGGACCUAAACUCUGUUUGUCUAUACUGUCUGAGUACUAUAUAAUAGUUAAAACUUUCAACAACGGAUCUCUUGGUUCUGGCAUCGAUGAAGAACGCAGCGAAAUGCGAUAAGUAAUGUGAAUUGCAGAAUUCAGUGAAUCAUCGAAUCUUUGAACGCACAUUGCGCCCCCUGGUAUUCCGGGGGGCAUGCCUGUCCGAGCGUCAUUACAACCCUCAAGCUCAGCUUGGUAUUGGGCCCCGCCGCUCCGGCGGGCCCUAAAGUCAGUGGCGGUGCCGUCCGGCUCCGAGCGUAGUAAUUCUUCUCGCUCUGGAGGUCCGGUCGUGUGCUCGCCAGCAACCCCCAAUUUUUUUCAGGUGACCUCGGAUCAGGUAGGGAUACCCGCUGAACUUAAGCAUAU